ensembl:lncRNA
GAUAUUAAUUUUUUUAAAGAACCAGAAAGAAAUUUAAACCAAGGUCAAACAGUCAUCAAAAGUUUAAGUUACCUGCUAGUUCAAGGUUUGUUUCCACAUUGCACAAAUGUUUGCUGUGAAACAGUAAUGCAUUUGCUUAGAAGCAAAUUUAUCAAAACUGUUAAAAGGCUCAAGAGCCCAACUGAAGCAAAUACUGACCACAAUUAAGGCUGUGCUUAAAGUCAGUUGUAGUUCUUGUUUUGCUCUUUUCUUCAGUGAUGUUGAUUGUUAACAGUAGGUGUUCAUCACUAAUGCACAAUCAUCACUUAAUUAGUCACUUAAUUAUCUCAUUAACUUUAACCCUUUAAGGACUUGGGAUAUGACUUGAAGACUUGCUUGUGACUUGAAAGUCCCACCUCUGCUGUUUAAUGGCUCUCUUGACAUGUACAUGUACAGUAACUAUUUAUCUGAUCUAUAGACUGUGAUGAACAUUUUGACUGUGGUCUUCAACUCUUCAGAGAAGAUUUUAGAGUCAUUAUCAUCAGCAAACCCAGCUGAACUGGCCUCCUAUGGAAACCGUCUGUUAAAAGCCAGCGAGAAACUCAUUUCUAUAUUAGUGAAGCCGACAGACACAAGUGACAGUGUCAGUUUCACUCUUGCUGCUGUAGAGGGUCAAGUUUUCAUAGUUGGACCACAGGUCACCUUAGAGAAAAUCCCUCGACUCGACACGACAAAUUCUUCUGUGGACAUCGAUCUCAUUGGGAUCGCCAGGAACAACAAUGAAAGAUCAGCUGCUGUGGCUUUUAUGAGCUACAACAUGAUGGAGAAUCUACUGAAGCCAGACUUCUUCAACACACCAAAGGACACGAUUAAAACCAUGAUGUCCACUGUGAUCUCAGCUACUCUUCCCAAAACCACCAACACUAAACUAACUAAACCAGUCAACUUCACCCUCAAACACAUCAGAGUGAGAGACAGAAAUGUGUUUUUGUCCAA